CUCUCACUCCCAGCUGUGCCCUCCUGGGAGAGGAGGCCCCUCAGGGAACCUCCCAGACCCGAUUUCAGUGGGGGCCUGUCCUGUCCCACCUGCAGCAGAGACGGUGACCUGGGGCAGGGGAGGGGAGCAGAGUCAUGGUUCAAGACAGUCAGGCUCUUUCCCUGCAGCUCCGGGACUCGGCUCUGGUGCAGGAACAAGGGCUGCAGGUCAGACUCCCGGGUUCCCUUCCCAGCUCUGCCGCUUCCUGGCUGGGGGCCCGGGGCAGGCGAUUCCCCUCUCUGAGCGUCAGUUUUUCAUCUGUAGAGUGGGUGGGGUGGAUGUUUCUGUGCUGCACGACUGUUGUGGGGGUUGGAGGUGGUGAAUAGAAGGUCCAGCAGUCACCUGCACACAGUAGGCGCUCAUUUCAAUGACAUCACCCCCAUCCCUGACAUCAUCGUGCUCAAGGUCUGGGAAGGCACCUGGGGGUUGUGAUCGGCAUCUUGGUGGCCGUCGUCCUCCUGCUCCUCCUCCUCCUCCUCCUGUUCCUCGUCCUCCGACACCGACGUCAGGGCAAACGCUGGACAUCGACCCAGAGAAAGGCUGAUUUCCAACAUCCUGCAGGGGCUGUGGGGCCAGAGCCCACAGACAGAGGCCUGCAGAGGAGGUAAUUCUGUCCGAAGACCCCAGAUUCCCACUCGCUCGUGGCCCAUACACUGCCCCCAAAGC
rnacentral:lncRNA from 1 species